rnacentral:rRNA from 1 species
GGGUGGUAAUGCCGGAUGUUCCAGUUGAUCGCAUGGUCUUCUGGGAAAGCUUUCGCGGUAUGGGAUGGGGUCGCGUCCUAUCAGCUUGACGGCGGGGUAACGGCCCACCGUGGCUUCGACGGGUAGCCGGCCUGAGAGGGCGACCGGCCACAUUGGGACUGAGAUACGGCCCAGACUCCUACGGGAGGCAGCAGUGGGGAAUAUUGCACAAUGGGCGCAAGCCUGAUGCAGCGACGCCGCGUGAGGGAUGGAGGCCUUCGGGUUGUAAACCUCUUUUAUCGGGGAGCAAGCGUGAGUGAGUUUACCCGUUGAAUAAGCACCGGCUAACUACGUGCCAGCAGCCGCGGUAAUACGUAGGGUGCAAGCGUUAUCCGGAAUUAUUGGGCGUAAAGGGCUCGUAGGCGGUUCGUCGCGUCCGGUGUGAAAGUCCAUCGCUUAACGGUGGAUCCGCGCCGGGUACGGGCGGGCUUGAGUGCGGUAGGGGAGACUGGAAUUCCCGGUGUAACGGUGGAAUGUGUAGAUAUCGGGA